GGGUCAGUGAUGACAUAAUCUGUCUGGAAGGGAGAUGAUGACCUAAAAAUCAUGCUCAGAGACGUUAUGCUGAGGCCC
ensembl:snoRNA SNORD115 Small nucleolar RNA SNORD115